AUGCAAGGUAUGGCCUUGUCCAUUCAGCACUCUGAUCUUCCGGUGGUGGCGCAAACGGAUUCAUCCGAAGCUCUCUCCAGUUUAACAAAUGGGACACUUCUUCACUCGGCAUGUGGUCAGAUUGUCUUGGAGAUCAAGGAUCUUCUAGGUACUAGGGAGUUUUUUCCUCAAAAGAUUAGUCGAUUCCAAAAUAGAGUUGCCGAUUGUUUGGCGAAAUAUAGCCACUCCGAACGUGCUACGGUUGUGUGGCUAGGUUCGGUUCCACCAUGUAUCAAGGACGUGUGGCCUCUCGACGUAACUCUAUUCCUAUGCAAUCAACUCCCUUUACCCCCGCAAAAAAACUAA
rnacentral:rRNA from 1 species